rnacentral:lncRNA from 1 species
AGGGUAUGAUCCUUACCCACACUACUAUACCUUACUUAUGCUCUGGCGUCGUGUGUGAAAUGGGCUCAUUUCCACUCACAGCGUACUCUUAUCUUUAGGCACUUUUAGGUUUAAAUUUAUUCACAUUUUCCACAUCACUAUACUUUAUGGCUUCGUCACCUUCUAGGUGUCGGCCAGCACAGCUUGAUUCGAAGUCCUAGUGGACAUUCUGGGUCGGGGUGUGUCAUGAUGUGGUAGUGUUAACUGUUUAGAAUACAACGAUGCUUAAAACCCAAAAGUUUGCAAGGUAGUGACUAAUUGUGACACCUCUAGAACAUAAAUUACAAUUUGGUCAUGGAUGGAUUCUUUGGAUUGUUAGAUCCGGAUCCAAUGCCUUCUUGUUAAAAUUGUAUAAAGGUGAAAUGUUCAAAUCCUUAUUCUUUUGAAAAGAAGAAAGAAUCACAAAGUUGUUGAGGUUAAUUCACUUUGAUGUUAGGGGCACUUGUCCACAACAUAAUACUACUUAUGUUGUAUGACAUUCACUGAAGAUCGCUCUCGGUUGGACUAUCGUUUAUUUUGAAUAAACACAAGUCCAAAUACUUUGCAAAAGGUUUCAAAGAAUUCAAGAAUGUAAGUUGAUGAGUAAGACGUCUAAAGUAUUUACCUCCUUAGAUUUGAUCCAAGGAAAAAUAACACUUUAAAAGAGUUUCCUUGAAAGAUAUCAAGGAAAGUAGCAUCAAAUACCCAUAUAUAGGAUAUAUACUUCUAAGACAAUAUGAUUGUCAAUUAGAAGAUCUUCCAAAAUUUUCAUGACUCCAUAGGAUCUAGUUGGAAAGAAAGACAAGUCUUAAGCGUGUUAAGAUUUGGGGUUAUGUGCUAAUAAGCAAUAUUUGUUUGAGAACAAUCUUGUGGGAUAUCCUUAAAUCAACCUUUGGAUAUCACUUCUAUAAACCAACUAACAAAUGUUAUUUGUUGGGUAGUUCAUUGUAAUCAUACAAUAGAAUUUGCCUAAGAUGGAGCAAAUGAAUGAGAGAUAGAACUCGAAGAAUGGGUUCUUUGAGAGACAAGAUGAUAAUCAAUAAAUAUAAACAAUCUAGUUCCUACACCACUAGCUCCAAGGGAGUCGAGAAGGAUUUAUAAACCGUCUUAGUUGAAUGGUUUGAACUUUAUGACUAUGUCAUUGAGUUACACCUCUUAAUUUGAAAGAAAUAAGAAUGAAAAUCUUUAUGACUACAUUAAGUGUAUAUAUGACAUAUACUCAAGGAAAUGGUACAAUACCAUUUGACCCGAAAUAGUGAAACCUUCACGACUAAUUGGUAGCUUAAGGUGGCAACAAUCAACGAGAUUGGUUGACUUGGAAGAAACCAACUUUGACGUAGUCUUGGUUUCUGUUAAUUCGAAGAUUGCUAGCUACAACUAAACGGUGAUUCAAUGUUUGGACAUAAUAUGGGUUUCCAAAACCAUUAUCAAGAUAGUCUUGAUAAUAUAUGUCUAAGACUAGGAAUCAUAAGACGUGUAAGUUGUAGAGAUCCAUCCAUCAUGAAUCUUAGCAAGCUAGUGGGAGCUAUAAGUGUCUUAUGAGAGAAAGAUCAAAUCGAUUGAUUUUUCAUAAAGAUGUAAAUGAAUCUUUUGUUUACUAGGUUUACAAAAGAUUAGUGGGAGUUAAUCAUAUUCCUAAAUUUGAACAUAUAUGAUAUAUUAAUUUUAGAAAUGAAAGGAAUUCUUCUUCAUUAAAGUUAUGACUUUAAACAUUCUAUAACGAUAGAAUGUAUAUGGGAGACAUAGUCUAUAUACAAGGGAUGGAAAUCUAUAAUGAUAGAUUUCAAGAUAUAAUUGGAUUAUCUCAAUCCUAAUUGAUAGACGAUAGAUGUAGGAAGUUUCUCGAAUGAUAAACUGUAAAUCAAAGGACAAUUCCAGUCAGAUUGGGAGUUGCUCUUCUAAAAGGGAAUGUACCAUUUUGACUCCCAAAGAAGCAUAAAGCAUAAAUAGAAUCCUUUAUGUAUACGGAGAAAGGUGAUUUACGUAUUUCAUAUUGUAUGAAAAACAUUGAUAUGAGUUGUGCCAAGAUAGGUACAAGACGAUAUCAGUGCAAGCCCAGGAUCAAAACCAUGGCAACUGUCAAGUGAGUCCUUAAGUAUUUAAGAAAUAUUAAAGGAUAGAUUCCUCAAGAAUGAGGAAGAAUUAGAGUAACACAAUGGAAGAGUAAAUGUAUUAGAUUAUGAAUCUAAUAUCGUAUCCAUCAUUGGAUGUCUCUUCAUUUUGAAUGAAGAGAUAAUUGGAUAUCUCUUUAUUAUGACUAAAGAGAUAUUUGGGUGGAAACGUUAAAAGUAAUGACUUUAGUGUAUUCCAUCAUGCAAAAUAUAUCGCCAUAUAGAAGCUUACAACAAUGUUGUUUGGAUGGGAAAAUUCAUUUAAGAACUCUCCCUUCGGUUCUAACCAGAAAGUGUCUCUAGUGUACCCACACUACGACACUAAUGGGGCUAUAGCUCAAGCCAGGGAAUCAAGGUCUCAUCAAGAUCCGAACUCAAAUGAGAGACUAAACCAUAUGAUUGAGAAUCAUGGAUAAUGGUGACGUUGUUAUUCUCAAGUUGCUGAUAUUUUUGGAAUGAAUUCAAAAGAGGUAUCAUCACUGAUGACUAAGUUGAUUGGCUCUAGUGCAAGUGGAAGAUUGUUGGAAAUCUACCCUAAAGCCAAUCAUAUGAUGAUACUUUACGGACAAUUCACAUGUUAAACUAAUCUAGUUUAAUAUAAAGGGCAAAGAUUAUUGUUUAAAGCUGUCUUAUAUAAAUGUUAUAUGCUUAAACGAUAACUCCAAGGAAUAUGUAAUUGGGAGAUUGUGAUCUAAAGAAGUUAGAUUCACGAGACCAUUCUUUUUUGUAUACAUAUCCUAAACGUUCUUGAUCAUAGGAUUGCAAAUUAGGCAUUGACAGUCCAUUAAGAUCAGUACAUGCUAUGUCUUCUCUUAGGGAGAGUAACUGGUCUCGAGUCAUUGGUGUGACUGAUACCAAGACAAGCAUGUAGGUGCUCAAUGGAGAGUGAGUCCACUGAAUGCGAUCAACAAGGAGUUCUCAUACUCAUGUCACAUGAGAACUCAUGGUUGGGAUAAUGCAAAGUAGUCAUUUAACCUGAAGCAUCAUAGUUGUCUUGUGGUUAGGUCCUUGAUCUUUGACUAUGUCAAAGUCACUCCGUCAAAGGGAGUCCACGACAUAAUUGGGGUUAAGGCACUUAGUCAUGGAGGCAAGUGAAUGCACAACAAGGGAUCUCUAACCUUUAAACCGUUUGAGAAAGAAUACUCUAUGAUAUGAUUAAGAAUCUCUAGCCAGAGUAUGAAUGAGAUUUAGGAAGUCGUUCCAAAUCACAUUCAAGGUAAUCAUAUAAGUAAAAGAAUCACAUUGGAUAGUAGACAUGAAUAAACUAUCAAACCAAACAAUGUGGUCAAGAGUAUUGUAUUAGAGAAAGACCGUAUUGCAUUGUAAUCCUAAACUAAAUAAGUUCUCCACCUCUUUUGAUUAGCUUGGGUAGCCAUGAUAUACUGCUAAGUGUCACUCUUGGUUUGUGGAAGCCCUAAAGGUGUAUAAUCACUAAAGGAAGAAUUGAAAAUAUGUUUCAAUUCAUAAUCGAUUUGAAGAGUUCUAAUCGCUCACUACCUCACUAAAAGAAACCUAAUGAAUCCUACACCGUGUAAGGUAGAUAUUGAAGAAACAACGGAGAAGAGUAAGGAUAAUUAAAUGGUUUAAUUAUCUAUGGUUAGGAUUAAGUAAUAUGUUAAUUAAUCAAACGAAUAAGUUCGUAUUAGACCUCAGGUUAGUUUUGGGCCUCAAGGUCCAAUGGGAUUUGAAUGUGAAGUCUAAUAACUCAAGUUGUAUGACAACUUGAAAAUUCAAAGGGCUUGAAAGCCCAAUAAACCCAUCAAGGCCGGCCGUAAGAGUGAGGGGUAGUAAAUUUGGCUUAAUUGCAAGUUUGCCACUAAAAUGUGAGGUGGUAUAAAUGCAUCUUUAUAGCCAUUUCUUCAUUAAGGGUUUUCUUUGA